GACGAACGCUGGCGGCGUGCUUAACACAUGCAGGUCGAACGGAAAGGCCCUGCUUUUGUGGGGUGCUCGAGUGGCGAACGGGUGAGUAACACGUGAGUAACCUGCCCUUGACUUUGGGAUAACUUCAGGAAACUGGGGCUAAUACCGGAUAGGAGCUCCUGCUGCAUGGUGGGGGUUGGAAAGUUUCGGCGGUUGGGGAUGGACUCGCGGCUUAUCAGCUUGUUGGUGGGGUAGUGGCUUACCAAGGCUUUGACGGGUAGCCGGCCUGAGAGGGUGACCGGCCACAUUGGGACUGAGAUACGGCCCAGACUCCUACGGGAGGCAGCAGUGGGGAAUAUUGCACAAUGGGCGGAAGCCUGAUGCAACAACGCCGCGUGCGGGAUGACGGCCUUCGGGUUGUAAACCGCUUUCGCCUGUGACGAAGCGUGAGUGACGGUAAUGGGUAAAGAAGCACCGGCUAACUACGUG
rnacentral:rRNA from 1 species